rnacentral:rRNA from 1 species
UGGGGGAUAUUGGACAAUGGGGGGAACCCUGAUCCAGCAACGCCGCGUGCGGGAUGAAGGCCUUCGGGUUGUAAACCGCUUUCAGUAGGGAAGAAAAUGACGGUACCUACAGAAGAAGCUCCGGCUAACUACGUGCC